AUCUAAAGUCAGACCUGCCCAAUGUAUAUUAACUUAUUAAUGGCCGCGGUACUUUGACCGUGCUAAGGUAGCGCAAUAAAUUGACCUUUAAUUAGGGUCAGGUAUGAAAGGAGUCACGGGGUUCAGCUGUCUCCCCGUCAAUAUUUUGAACAUUACUAUGUAGGUGAAAAAGCCUACAAGAAGAAAAGGGACGAGAAGACCCUUAGAGUUUUUCUUAAAGCAGAAAAUUUCUGUUACAGUUUAGUUGGGGCAACUUGGGAACAAAAAAUUUCCUGAAAGAAAAUUAAUCGAUCUUUAUAAAAUUGGAUAAACUACCUUAGGGAUAACAGCAUAAUUUCGUAAAUAAGUUUGUGACCUCGAUGUUGGACUAGGAAAUCUAAAGGCUAGCCGCCUCUAGAGUAAGUUCUGUUCGAACUAUUUUAUUCCUACGUGAUCUGAGUUCAGACCGG
rnacentral:rRNA from 1 species